rnacentral:lncRNA from 1 species
GAGGCGAGCGACCUCGGCCCGACAGCGCUCCUCCACCUGGACGAUGUCCCUCCUCGCACGGCUCGUCGCCUCGAUAUUGGUGAGGAGCUGGUGCCCGAUCUGCAAGGGCAGCUAGGGGAUCAGAACAAGGGCCGAAUAGUCAGGUAAAUGAAGAUUUGCUUACCUCAAGGAAGGACCCCAAAGAGUCCCAGGCCCGCUGCUC